AUGGCCUCAGAAGCACCAAGUGAGGAUGCAGAAGGUGCAGCUGAGCCUCCUGCAGCUCCUGUGCAGGGGAACAGCACAUUCCAGUGGGGAUCCAUCCUUGCUGCAGUGAAGGACCAGCUCCCAUCCCUGGACUCUGACUCCUCCACAUCUGAUUGUGAGAGUGAUGAGGAGCUUUUCAUCUUCCAGAGGGACCUGCCCAACUUAAUUCCAGACCUGUCAGAGGAACUGAUGAUGUUUGCCCUGGAAGACUCCCAGGAGCAGCAAAUCCAGGAGACAGAAAGACUUCCAUGGGAGAUCUGGAACGAAGACCUGGAAAGUUUUGACUUUCAGGAAAAAACAGAUGGUGCCCAAAUCAUUGCAAAAGAAGAUGUACAAAUGAUUAAAGAUGAGGCUGCUGAACCUGCCAGCCAGACUGAAGAAAUGCCAAGACAAAAGAGAGCUGUUCUUGAAGAGUCUCCCUCAGAUUCCACAGAUCACCUUGAGGGGAAGGAAAUGGGCAGGACUCAGGCCAAGGAAAGAGCAAACUCCUGGCCUAUCACAGCAGUGCCUGUGCAAGAGCUGUACACUAAAGAGGAGAGAAAAAAGCUGAUAGAGACAAAGAUACUGUCCAAGGUCCUUGUGGAGCCAUCCCCAAAGCAGGAGCUCAAACCUCCCUCCCAUGGCAUCAACAACAGCCUGGGAAGAUUUGCAAAGGCAGAAACCUCCUCAGAUGAGCGUCUUGGAGAAGUGAUCCAUUUGUCAUUGCAGGCUAUUGAGAAAUGGAACGCAGACAAGAAUCUUGAGGAGCUAGAGCAGCAGGGAGAUAAAACUCGUGCAGAAGUUGCUUUCUUCCCAGCAGAUUAUGAGUCCUUCAGGAGGAAGUGUGAAGAGGAGCUGAUGGAAAGGCUGGGGGAGCUGUGUGCCAGGCAGACCAGGGCAGUGUCCCCUGCCUGUGAGAGGCCCUCAGCCAAGCUCUGCUCCUUCCAGGGACAGCAGGACAAUGAGGAUGUUGCCUUGCCCUCAUCCCCACCCAGUUCUCUGAGGAUGGGCAGGAUGAGUUUCCAGGACGUGCCAAAACGUGCAACUGUGUACAUAGAUCUGAGAGAUGCUGAGCCACCAAAGCCAGUGACAGUCCCUGAAGAGAAACAAAGUGCAAGUGACAGCUCCUCCUCCUCCUCCUCUGAAGAAGAAGAAGAGACUGUGACAAUUCAGGAUGAAGCAGGAAGGAGAAUGAGGAAUUGCUCAGGGAAGAGCCUGUUACUGCAACAACUCCGAGCAGCCCGGAAGGAGGCCUUGGAGCUUCUUCACAAAACAUCUCUUGCAGCUGAGAAACUGCAGCCAGAAAGGCUGGAAGACACAGAUUCCUCUAAUAAAAGUCAAACCCAAUCUUGUAAAGUGAGGCAAGAGACAAAUGAGGUGGUUCCCAGGAAACUGAUGAGAUUGGAACCCAGCAAGGAAAGUCUCCCCUUUUCAAGCUGUGGGGGUGACAGAUCUGACACAGAGAAAGAGAACAAAAUGGAAGCUGAGAAGAUUCCAAGUGCAGGAAAUGCUCCAGAGUGUCCUCUGAUUACAGCAGAAUUGCCAAGGUAUCCCACAGGAAAAGUAAUCAGAGGGUUUGGAUGUGGCUUCUCUAAUUGCCCUGGAUUAAAGAAAAUUGCUUACCUGGGCUGUGAGCUGGAGCAAGAGGGUGUCUGGAUUUGUUAGCUGGCAAGAACAACAGUCCUGGCAGCUGCUGCUGGAAGGUUUAGAGGCAGCCUCAGUGGGGCCUGGCAUUAGAUGAGCUGGGGCACUCCUGACAUUGGAAAUGGAGCCUUUUUCUAUAGCUUUUAUCCUACAGAAGAAGAGGAUUACACGGUAUUGAUCUCCUUUAGGAACAGCAGCACUGAGGUUUCCUAAGCACAGCUGCCUAGAAAAUAGGUCUGGAAGGGUCAGUCUCCCUGUGCCAAUAAAGAGUGAGGUAAAAUGUAAUAUCUCCUGGCA
ensembl:lncRNA